GGAGGGGUGGCUGAGCGGUUGAAAGCACCGGUCUUGAAAACCGGAGUAUCCGAAAGGGUACCGUGAGUUCAAAUCUCACUCCCUCCG
rnacentral:tRNA from 1 species